UUCCCUUCUGGCUGCAGAGUGGAACACCCCUUGAAAAAUUUAUCGGAACGUGCCCAGUAGCGGGGGAUAACUACUCGAAAGAUCCCUAAUACCGCAUACGCCCUACGGGGAAAAGGGGGGGAUCGCAAGACCUCUCACUAUUGGAGCGGCCGAUAUCGGAUUAGCUAGUUGGUGGGGGAAAGGCUCACCAAGGCAACGAUCCGUAGCUGGUUUGAGAGGCGAACAGCCACACUGGGACUGAGACACGGCCCAGACUCCUACGGGAGGCAGCAGUGGGGAAUUUUGGACAGUGGGGGAAACCCUGAUCCAGCCAUCCCGCGUGUUUGAUGAAGGCCUUCGGGUUGUAAAGUAUUUUUGGCAGAGAAGAAAAGGUAUCCCCUAAUACGGGAUACUGCUGACGGUAUCUGCAGAAUAAGCACCGGCUAACUACGUGCCAGCAGCCGCGUAAUACGUAGGGUGC
rnacentral:rRNA from 1 species